AAUGUUUCCCAGAGGAAGCAGUGGCUCAUUGGCAGGAAAGAAGGCGAUGCCAGGCACAGGCCCAGACACAGGAGAUGCAGCUGGCACCACAACAUGUGUUCCCAAUUCCCAGAAGGGCAUCGGAAGAGGUUUCUGUCAGGGAACACGCUGUUGGCCAGAAGUAAUGGCAGGCCUGAUUUGUUUGGUGCAUUUAUUCGUUUUAUAUGGUGCUGGAAUCUGGUAUUGCUGGAAGAGAAAACAGAGCGCCUCUGCACCUCCAGAUGUCCUGCCAAACACGUUAGUCUGGGAGACCUGCACCCGUCUUCCUCCAUCACCAAACCAGUGUCCGUUGUCCCUGCCACAGCUGCAUUAUCAGCUUAUUGCUGUGCCGCCACCACCCAGAACAGGACCCUCUGUCCCUGCAGGUGCUGGCCCUGGUGCCUGGCCAGGCCUGAAUGUGGGCCCCUCCUGCCAGGGAAGGGCUUGAGCAACACCUUUGGGCUUCUGCUCUGGGCUCUGGCUGGUACCACCAGCACUGGCACAGCUGCUUGGCUGGCCACAGCCUUGGCUGGGCAGGCAGC